AAAUUAUGUUCCAUACCUAAAUAUUUGAUGUUAAAUGAAAGCCCUGUUUCUCCUGAAUAAAAUGAUAUAUAAUAAGUGUGGGUGCAUUUAAUAUGAAAGAGGUGAAUUACGGUUGGACAGACAUGUAGCGCAAAUGCCAGGUUUUGUUUACGUUUUGUUUUGAUCACAACUUGUACAUUUGGCUGCGGUCUUAAGGGGUUAAAUAUAGUCUCCUCCUUUACUGUGUUGAUUCCCUUUAUGUAUUUAAAUGUUUCUGUCAUAUCCCCCCAUAUCCUUUCACACACCAACUCUCCAUGGACAAAAAACACU